rnacentral:rRNA from 1 species
GAGUUUGAUCAUGGCUCAGAUUGAACGCUGGCGGCAGGCCUAACACAUGCAAGUCGAGCGGUAGAGAGAAGCUUGCUUCUCUUGAGAGCGGCGGACGGGUGAGUAAUGCCUAGGAAUCUGCCUGGUAGUGGGGGAUAACGCUCGGAAACGGACGCUAAUACCGCAUACGUCCUACGGGAGAAAGCAGGGGACCUUCGGGCCUUGCGCUAUCAGAUGAGCCUAGGUCGGAUUAGCUAGUUGGUGAGGUAAUGGCUCACCAAGGCGACGAUCCGUAACUGGUCUGAGAGGAUGAUCAGUCACACUGGAACUGAGACACGGUCCAGACUCCUACGGGAGGCAGCAGUGGGGAAUAUUGGACAAUGGGCGAAAGCCUGAUCCAGCCAUGCCGCGUGUGUGAAGAAGGUCUUCGGAUUGUAAAGCACUUUAAGUUGGGAGGAAGGGCAGUAAAUUAAUACUUUGUCUGUUUUGACGUUACCGACAGAAUAAGCACCGGCUAACUCUGUGCCAG